rnacentral:rRNA from 1 species
AGGACGAACGCUGGCGGCGUGCUUAACACAUGCAAGUCGAGCGGUAAGGCCCUUUCGGGGGUACACGAGCGGCGAACGGGUGAGUAACACGUGGGUGACCUGCCCUUAGCUCUGGGAUAAGCCUGGGAAACUGGGUCUAAUACCGGAUAUGACCUCGCGAUGCAUGUCGUGGGGUGGAAAGCCUUGUGCGGCUAGGGAUGGGCCCGCGGCCUAUCAGCUUGUUGGUGGGGUGAUGGCCUACCAAGGCGACGACGGGUAGCCGGCCUGAGAGGGCGACCGGCCACACUGGGACUGAGACACGGCCCAGACUCCUACGGGAGGCAGCAGUGGGGAAUCUUGCGCAAUGGGCGAAAGCCUGACGCAGCGACGCCGCGUGAGGGAUGACGGCCUUCGGGUUGUAAACCGUCUUUCAGCCUGACGAAGCGAAGUGACGGUAGGGCAGAAGAAGCACCGGCCAACUACGCGCCAGCAGCCGC